rnacentral:rRNA from 1 species
CCUACGGGUGGCAGCAGUGAGGAAUAUUGGUCAAUGGGAGAGAUCCUGAACCAGCCAAGCCGCGUGAGGGAAGACGGCCCUAUGGGUUGUAAACCUCUUUUGUCGGAGAACAAAACCCGGGACGUGUCCCGGACUGCGGGGAACCGAAGAAAAAGCAUCGGCUAACUCCGUGCCAGCAGCCGCGGUAAUACGGAGGAUGCGAGCGUUAUCCGGUUUUAUUGGGUUUAAAGGGUGCGUAGGCGGUCCGUUAAGUCAGCGGUAAAAUUGCGGGGCUCAACCCCGUCGGGCCGUUGAAACUGGCAGCCUUGAGUUGGCGAGAAGUACGCGGACUGCGCGGUGUAGCGGUGAACUGCAUCGAUAUCGCGCAGAACUCCGAUUGCGAAGGCAGCUUACCGGCGCCCGACUGACGCUGCGGCACGAAAGCGUGGGGAUCGAACAGGAUUAGAUACCCGGGUAGUC